AGCAAGCGGGCGCCUGCAACUGCCCGGCGUUUCGCCUCGCAUAUCCCGCACCCACAGCCCAGUCUCAACGCGGCUGGCAUUCCAGACAUCUCAGCCCGUUCCUCCCAGCCUCGCUGCUCAGGUUGCUCUCCGGGUGUGAAGCCUCUUCCUCCCUUCAGUUACUUGUUUGGAGCGCUCCAGAAACCGCGAGCGGCUCUUUGGGCCAGGCCUGGGUCUCUAACCGGUGACUGAAAAGGUAGUGGACAGGGAGGACAGAAGCUGGCCGUGUCAGCCCCGAGCGCAGCCCGAGGCACCAAUCUUACGCAGCAUCUUCUCCUCAGCGUCCCUUCUGUUGUCGAAGAGAAAAGCUAUAAUGUGAUAAACACACUGGCGAACAAGUGACAAUUUCCUCUUGGUUUUCGCCUGGCGAUCUCUCUCUAUCUCUCUCUUGCAGAGAGACGCGGAGACCCUGGUUACCCUCUAAGAUUACCUCUCUGCCUUGGCUGGAAAAGAGCUCUGGGUCAGCUGCAUAGGGGAGACUUGCCGUAUCAAUUAAAGGGUGAUAUAUGAUCCCUGCCCGCUCGCCCCCAGCCCUAAACUGAAACUAAUAGGUGAUUAGAAAGGAGCCCGAAGGCCCCCAAGACGGACGGCUGAGACGGAUGGAUUUGGGGAGGUAUGAGAUCGACCUAGGCGAUGGGAGAAGGACGGAUCGGCGUCCUUCGAAAAGGCCAGUCCCGCUCCGCCCCUGAGUGGAAAACUCAGCUGGAAGGCAGGCCCCGUGGAAAACCGAGGACUUGCUUGUUAAGGGCUGAGACCCGGCAGAUAACCCGCUCCAAAGACGCCUAUGUAGUAUCUAGACGCGUCUCUUUAACGCUCCAAAGCGGAGCAGCACCCGAACACACGUCCCCCUAUUUACUCCAGAGGAAUCCAGCCAUUGCUGUGAGCGUCCGGUGAAUGGGUAGGCAUGCCCGCCUUGCUUUUGUCUGUGCGCAGAGGCCAGCAGAGGGAAGCGGGAGUCGGGCUGUCUUCAAUCCCCCUCCCCCGCGUCCCCCGACGACGCAUGAGGACGUGGGGAGUCGUUAGAUGGUUUCUGCUUGGAACUGCUGCUGUAGCGAGGGUUCCUCAUCAUAAUCCCCGAGCAGGUCGUGCGAGAUGUUCGCCGGAGGGAUGACAUUCCCUGCUCCCAGGGGCGGGUCAUUUGCCUCCAGACACAACAAACUCCAGAAACAGGCAAACACGGCCGAGUUUUGACAGGCUCGAGGAAGCAAAACAAAACGAGCGAGAGGUCGACUCAGAUCUGUUUAUUUAGGGGAAAGAAAGGAAGGGAAAAGAGCGCUGGGCCCUCCAUUCUCAUCGAAAGACCCACCGGCAGUCAGAAAACCCGGGCUGAUCUGCCUCCCUUUUUCUGUCUUUCCUGCCAGGGCGAACCCCCAUCCACGGCAGCAGAAACUUUGUAGAAACAACAACAGCAAAAGCAAAAUAGUCUCCAAUAUGCAGGGAAUAAAGCUACUGGUUUGGUU